GCUGGGCUAGCUCAGUCGGUAGAGCAUGAGACUCUUAAUCUCAGGGUUGUGGGUUCAAGCCCCAUGUUGGGCA
rnacentral:tRNA from 1 species